rnacentral:rRNA from 1 species
GAUGAACGCUGGCGGCGUGCCUAAUACAUGCAAGUCGAGCGAACGGACGAGAAGCUUGCUUCUCUGAUGUUAGCGGCGGACGGGUGAGUAACACGUGGAUAACCUACCUAUAAGACUGGGAUAACUUCGGGAAACCGGAGCUAAUACCGGAUGAUAUUUUGAACCGCAUGGUUCAAAAGUGAAAGACGGUCUUGCUGUUACUUAUAGAUGGAUCCGCGCUGCAUUAGCUAGUUGGUAAGGUAACGGCUUACCAAGGCAACGAUGCAUAGCCGACCUGAGAGGGUGAUCGGCCACACUGGAACUGAGACACGGUCCAGACUCCUACGGGAGGCAGCAGUAGGGAAUCUUCCGCAAUGGGCGAAAGCCUGACGGAGCAACGCCGCGUGAGUGAUGAAGGUCUUCGGAUCGUAAAACUCUGUUAUUAGGGAAGAACAUAUGUGUAAGUAACUGUGCACAUCUUGACGGUACCUAAUCAGAAAGCCACGGCUAACUACGUG